GGCAGUGAGGUCUAGUUAAUACAACUGAGUCUGCCAAGUAAUUCAGGUCACCAGUAUGUGCAACCUGUAUUUGGGCAGUCAAACAGUCCUCCAGACACUGCUGGAUGUCCACAGGUGCUCAGCUGCCUCAGUCACAUGACUGUAACAGCAUGACAUGACAUUCAUUGAAUUUAGGAAAGAGAAGGGAUAAUCUUCAGAAUGAGAAGAAGACAGAAAAUCUACCCAGAAGAAACAAUGACAGAAGAUUCCUCCACAUAUGCAAACACAAAGAGGUCGCUCUGAGGAGACACCAAGAGCCUCUUUAGAAGAGUGGUGAAUGCUUUGAGUAACAUGCCCUGCUCCUGCCAGCACCUCUGGGUUCAGAUUCAAGGCCUACCGCACCCAGUGGGAGUAGGAGAGGAGAACCCAGGAGAUCUAAAAAUCUCAGAGGACUUUCAGCUUGACACUUGAAAUAAAGAGCUGAUGUGAGGCAUUGCAGGACACAAGGUACCCUACCUCAGCCCUGGUCACAAGGAUGCGAAUCAAGGUCUCUUCAUCAGUCCCAGCUC